rnacentral:rRNA from 1 species
CAAUAGCGUAUAUUUAAGUUGUUGCAGUUAAAAAGCUCGUAGUUGGAUUUCGGUUAAGAGCGACCGGUCCGCCGUUUGGUGUGCACUGGUUGGUUUUAACUUCCUGUAGAGGACGUGCUCUGGGUUUAACGACCUGGACUCGGAGUCUACGUGGUUACUUUGAAAAAAUUAGAGUGUUCAAAGCGGGCUUACGCUUGAAUAUUUCAGCAUGGAAUAACACUAUAGGACUCCUGUCCUAUUUCGUUGGUCUCGGGACGGGAGUAAUGAUUAAGAGGAACAGUUGGGGGCAUUCGUAUUUCAUUGUCAGAGGUGAAAUUCUUGGAUUUAUGAAAGACGAACUUCUGCGAAAGCAUUUGCCCAGGAUGUUUUCAUUAA